UUAACUGAGGCGUGAAAGGGAGGAUGGGGAUCACCUCAGUGUGAUCCAUUUAAUUUUUUGUAACCAUUUGGCUGAAAAACGGGUGAAACGGUGCGAAUGGGCCAUUUUUGGGACAAAUCGUUGUGCUAUAGCCCACGGUUUUGAGGGUGGGCUCAGGGUUCGACCGUUCUAUGGGCCUAAAAUCCAUCGGUACAUGCUUGGGAGGUUAGGGAUC
rnacentral:lncRNA from 1 species